GAGAAUCAUGCACUUUCAGCUUAUGUGUAUUUCAAUACCAAAAAUACCCUUCAUCUUGCCAGCUAAGCGUUCCACAUCUGAAAAUUCAAAAGAGAAAAACCCUUCGAAAAGCCACAAAACCAAUAUCUCUCUCGUAUUCUGCUUUUCCCCUUCUCUCUCCCAUUCUCAAUCUCAGAAACCCAAAAUGUUGUAAAACCUAACCUCUUUCAUUUCUGUAACAUUCUCGUCUCCCAUUUUUGUAACCUUUUCCCCAAAUUACUUGAUCCAGAAACCCUAAUUUCUGAAAAGAAGAUCAGAUCCGGGGAAAAUUGGUAAUCAGAAUCAAUGGUGGGUGCAUCGAGCUCAUGGUCUCGCGCAUUGGUUCAGAUCUCACCCUCCACUUUCUCCGUCAUCGGUAUCGCCAUCGGCAUCGGCAUUUCCGUCUUGGGUGCCGCUUGGGGAAUUUAUAUAACUGGAAGUAUUUUAAUUGGUGCCAUCAAAGCUCCUCGGAUUACUUCAAAAAAUCUGAUUAGAUGAGUACUUCAACUUUCUUUCUUUCUUUUUUUCUCGCUGGUUUUAUGGAUCAUUGAUGUGGUAUUACAUUGACUGGCUUAUUAAUGAGAGGUAACUGACAACUUCCAUGUGUAAAAAAAAUUGAAUUAUGCCACCACUUGCUAGAUUGUCCGGGCAUAGGUUACAUGGUCGUAGGAUAAGCUGAUACGCCUAUUUACCAUCAAUAUCAAUGAGUGUCAAUUCUGAAAUCUUACUGAACAUACAUUUGGACAAAUCAAUAUCAAUAUUGCGGCCAAUAUUUCAGUAUGGUUCAUGUUGAUAUUCUAUAAUAUUAUUGGUAUUCCUCAUUUACUUUGAUGAACUGAAGAUUUUUGUGCUCAUUUCCUAUGCAAUACUUGCUUGUUUUGAGCUUAAUUUGAAGACUCAUUCAAGAUUGCUGCUAAAUUCACAAAGUAUCGGCACUAUAGAAUUGUAAUAGACUUUAUUUUUAUUUUUUCAUUUGGAUUACAACCUGUUUGUUCCUUUGGAUUAUUCCAGCUGCUUCAAUGUGUUGGAAUUCAUUAAUAUUGAAACCCUAGUGUUUUUUAGCGGCCAUUUAUUUAUUUAUUUAUUUAUUUUUUGUCUCUUGCAUUGUAGAUAUGUGCCUAGUGGAGUGAAGGGAGGUUCUUAUUAUAAGUUUUUAUGCAUCUUUGAAAUUCUUGUUUUUCUCUGUCAUCCAAGAUGGGUACUUGUUGACUGUUCAAGUACUUGAUGUAUUAUCCUGUGGUAUGCACCCUCUUAGAAGGUAUAAGGUCUCUGAAAGGAAGAAAUAGAGUAAUGAAUAAUAUGCAUAAAGCUUCUGGUCAUAGCAGUUAUAACAGCUAUUGAAAUAGGUCUAGAACUGUAUUUCAAACUCUAAUUCCCUUUGUACUUCAUGUGAAGUUGAUGUUAGACAAUACAAUGCCUGUAAUUGGAAUAAUAAGAAUUUCUUAAUUUCUUUGGUUGUAUAGCCCCUAGUCGUGAUCUGAAGGGAAUAUGAUCACAAGUUAUUAUAAUCAAUUUCUGAUAAAAAUUGAGAUGUGGACAAAAGAAGUUAGAAAAAUAAAUAAUAAUAAUAUUAAAGUGGCUGAAUACCAAAGCAAGCUUAAAGUGGCUGAAUACCAAAAAUAUCAUGAAGAAGAAAUAGAGGAAGAGAAAAUUAUUAAGAAUAAAUUGACAAAGUCUACAUAAGCUUAAAGCGGCUGAAAAGUGGCACAAGCUUAAAGUGGCUGAAAAGUCUACACAAGCUUAAAGUGGCUGAAUACCAUGCUGAAAAAUUGCAUGAAGAAGAAAUAAAGGAAGAGAAACAAGAACAGAGCAAACUCCUUCAUAGUGUUAUCAAAUAAACAAUCUGCUCUAUUUGAUGUAGAGCAUGUUAACAAGAAAUGAGCAAAUUUAUUUGUUGGGAAUACUUUUUGUGAAUAAUUGCAAAUCCAGGGUUGUGAUAAAAAGGAUGAUGAUGGUAUGAGUUUUGGUCCAUAUAAACAAAAGAGUAUGGCUAUAGCCUGUGCUAGCCAAUAAUUUGGCAAAACCCUUGUAAGGGUUCCACACAUUUGAGGCAUAAAUCAGUGUAUGACCUAUUGGAUUUCAAAUCAGGGUUUGACUUGAAAUCAUUGGAAAUUGCUUGAAAUUGAGAAGAUGGUGUCUUUGGUUGUAUUUGAUUGGGUUCUAAGCAUUAGGAUUAUGGAAAGUGAAUUAGAAAUGCUGAGGAUUGAAAAGAGUUGAAGAGGUUGUCGUGCAGCCAUAGAAUAAGGCAUGGCAGAGAAGAAAGAGGAUGAAGAGGGUUUUGAGAAUGCACUCAAGGUAGCAAAGGGAUGGUAAGAGGUCCAGAGGAAGAAGGGGUGGAAAUGUUUUAUACAUGCCAAGUUCAUUUCAGCUAUUAGGGAAUCAGCCCCUAGGGCAAUAAUGGCUUUCUUCACCAUUGUAGUCAGUGAAGAAAGGAUUGUCAGUAAUUUGUUCACAGUAUUGUUUAGAAGAAGAGGGUGUAAAAAACCUUGUUGCUUUGCAAUAGUGGUAGGAGAUGGCCUUUUGAUGGAAUAACCAACUGUAAAUUGCAAUGGGAUAUGGAAUAAUGGGGAUAUAACUAUUAGAGCAUAGUUAAAAAAUAGUGGAAUCAAAUCUAAAGAUAGUGAGGAUCAGAUGCAGUUAUAUUGUUGUAGUUAUCCUCUUAGUACUCAGAUAUAUUGCACUUUUUGUCUUUUGCCUUGUUGGACUCUUGGCUUCCUUGGACUCACAUUUUGCAAAGUUAUGUAUACAACAUUGAUUUCAAUUUUAUAAAAAAGUCAUUUAUAAAAAAGCCCCCCCUUCACUUGCUAAUGAUGGUCAGAUAUGAAUUGCCACCAAACUAGAGCUCGCAUGCAGUGAGUAGUGCGGUUAUUUGUUUUCCCUUAUGCCAACCUUGUUCCCACAUGUUUGAUAUAUGUCACUUCCCAAGUAAAGUUAUGAUUGUGGCUGAAAGUAGUUGACCACUUCUGGUAUUGUUGAGAGAACAAUAUAAAAGGAAAAAUAAAAGCCAAUAAGAGGAAUUUUUUUUUCUAGUCGCCUACAGUAGUUAUUUUAAUUGCAGAGUUGCAUCUAUGCAAUGUAGAUGUCCAUUUGUGGCUUGGGUGAGUUAAUGUCUUGGUACUUUUGCCUUUGUGUGUGCAUGGAAAAGCCUGGUGGAAAAUGAAAACACCAAAAAGAGGAUUUUUGUGUGUUGGAUGAGUCAUGUAUCAUGUUAAUAUGCUAGCGAAGUAGUUGCAUAAUAGGAGAUGAACACAUUGCGCUUAUCCAAGUUUUCUUCAAAGCAUAAGAAAAAACAAAAUGAAAAGGAAAGUAAUCCUCCACUUUGGAGAAUUGUAGAAUGUUUUUUGUGAACAAAAAUUAGACUUCUUUUGCUGCACUGUAUGCACAACGAUACUACAAAAUGCAGACCCCUUAAGAAAUGAUGGUUUUGACUUAUUUUUUUGGUCAUUUUCUCUUUUGGGGUGUUCGGUUCUUAGUGUCAUAUUCUGUGAGGUUGUUGCUAUAUAUGGAGUUAUUGUGGCAAUCAUUCUUCAAACAAAGCUAGAGAGUGUGCCUGCAUCCAAUAUUUAUGCACCAGAGUCCCUUAGAGUCAGAUAUGCAAUCUUUGCCUCUGGAAUUAUUAUGGGUUUUGCCAACCUUGUCUAUGGGUCGUCGGUUCAGAUGAUCUUUCUAUAUGUCGGUUCAUGCAGAAGGAGAUGGACCACAACAAUCAAUGAGCAACUGGAAGGGAGUUUUUAGCAUCUCAUCAUAUACACAAUAUUUCAAUGUGGAUAUAGAUGUUGUUCUGAACAGAUUAAUAAGCUCUUUGCAUCCCAUUGGUGGAGAUUUUUUCAGCAAGAUUGAUGCCAACCCUCAUUUGGCUUCCUCAUGUAAGGUGUAUGGUGUUGUCCCGCCCCCGCACCAGUUAUUGGUUGGUGUUCAGAGUUCUGGGAAUGAGCUAAAUGUAAAAACAAGUUCAAAUCCUUGUUUGACAUCAUCGGAUGGAAGCUCUACACCAACUCCAUUAGUUUCCUCUUUUGACUUUGUGAACAGUGAUUUAUCUUUUUGGUGUUUCUCAUGCGAUGCAUAUUUGGAUGCUCAAGCGAUUUUGUAACUCCACCUUGUUUAUGAAACUGCAUGUAUACUGAAAUUUGGCCAGACCCCUCCAUUUCCAACCACAGAUAAUCAAGAAAAAGCUUCAACUUCAGGCAAUUAAGUUUCAACAUAGUACAUUAGAUUUGUAGGUUCUACUAUUGAGUCCUUUUUUUUUUGUUCUUCUCAUUUUGGAAAUUGGGAAGGAUGUUGGGUUCUGGUUGGUUGUUAAGAAAAAACCAGUUGUUCACAACCAUUGUUGAAAUUAUCCUUGAAAUAGUUAAGGGAAACUGAUUUUGUUUUAUACAAUACCAAAGAGAGUUAUACAAGACAUUCAAAUGAUUUCCUAUAUUAAUUAA